rnacentral:rRNA from 1 species
CAAUAGCGUAUAUUUAAGUUGUUGCAGUUAAAAAGCUCGUAGUUGGAUUUCGGGUGGGACGCAGCGGUCUCGCAUUGCGUUUGUACUGCUGCAGCCCUCCUUCUUGCCGGGGGCGGCCUUCCGGGCUUCACUGUCUGAGGGUCAGAAUCGGCGAUGUUACUUUGAGUAAAUUAGAGUGUUCAAAGCAAGCUUACGCUCUGAAUAUAAUAGCAUGGGAUAACACGACAGGACUCUGGCCUAUCGUGUUGGUCUAUAGGACCAGAGUAAUGAUUAAGAGGGACAGUCGGGGGCAUUCGUAUUCCGUUGUCAGAGGUGAAAUUCUUGGAUUUACGGAAGACGAACAUCUGCGAAAGCAUUUGCCAAGGAUGUUUUCAUUG